GUCUGAAACUGGGUCAGAGAAUACAUGCAGUUAUUGCUCUGAAUAUACGCGGAUAUUUAAAGUGCCUGGCGGAUUUAAUAAUUGUUAUGUUAAUUUUCGUUAUAAAUUUAUUCGUAAUUGGAGGCAAAACAAAAUGGACAGACCGCUUCGUUUGUUGACUUAUCGAAGAUACAACUUUGCAGCGAAAAAUAGCAGUGUUGACAUUUCGAUUCGACUGUCUGCUGUCAAAUACUUUUAAUAUCGUUCCUGUGUAUUUGAUAACCUCCAGCAGUAAGAAAUAUAAAGGCUCACUGCAGUUUUGAGUGCUCAACAAGUAUUGACCCCAUACUAUGCUCAGCAAGUAGGGCCCUUGUAUUUCUGUGAAUCCUCAUGCAGUACAGUACUGCUGUUGGAAGAGGAGCAAACAGUGUGGUAUCUAUGGUCCACCAUCACUUCAAGCAUCAUGGCUAUGGAGAAAAAGAAUGUUUCAUUACAUAUGGACAAUUAUAGUGGAACAAAAUAAGAAAAGUGUUGUACAUUUGUAAUAAGCUAUGGAAUGUGGCUUGUUAUGAUGGGUCUACAUGAUGACUUGGAGUACAACCUGAUUGAGGCCCUGCAUACAGAAUUCAGUCCUGAACAUGUUUAGAAUGUCUUCUGCAUGACCUGGUAUAGAUAGUAUUCUUGAAGGAUUAUAACUUCAACACAUAGACGGAGAUUAAUAUUUUUAGGCAGGGUGUUGGCAUGACAGGCAAAUUCACCAACCGUAUUACCAUUCCUGAGCUGGAUGCCAGUCGACAGUGGUACUUGUAUAAUGAAAUAGCGCCCCUUUGCAGCAACAGCAAUGUAUGCUCAAACCAGCAGUGUCAAAGCCAUUAAAAUUGAUAAUUCAAGUUAUUUAAAACGAAGAAUGAAUGGAAAAAAGUGUUUAACAUUUAAAGUAAUACAGAGAAAGAGCUCUGAAAUUUUGAUUAAUUUGAAAGUGUUCUUGAUUUUUUGAAGAUGUACUAGACCCAAAUUCCAUAUAUUUGAAAAAGAACAAAUGAUACAUAUAGUUUAUGUAAACAUUGAAUUAACAACUUUAUGGUGUCAACAGUACUAUGCAUUUGUUAAAUAUUGACUCACUAUAUACAUGUAAGGCUGAACACAGUAUAAAUGUGAAAUUCCUCUAAAACACUGGAAGAUUUUUCAACAAUAAUUGUAACAUACAUGGUAGUAAUGUACAUUUUUUUCAUUACGACAGUUGG